GAUGAAGAACGUAGCGAAUUGCGAUAUGUAAUGUGAAUUGCAGAAUUCAGUGAAUCAUCGAAUCUUUGAACGCACAUUGCGCCCGCCAGUAUUCUGGCGGGCAUGCCUGUUCGAGCGUCAUUUCAACCCUCAAGCCCAGCUUGGUGUUGGGGAUCGGCACAGGCGCCCUCGGGCGCCAGCCGUCCCCUAAAUCUAGUGGCGGUCCCGCUGCAGCCUCCUCUGCGUAGUAGUUUUCUCCUCGCAAGGGCAGCUCGGUGGCGACCUCGCCGUAAAACCCCCAACUUCUGAAAGGUUGACCUCGAAUCAGGUAGGAAUACCCGCUGAACUUAAGCAUAUCAAUAAGCGGAGGA
rnacentral:misc_RNA from 1 species